rnacentral:misc_RNA from 1 species
AAGUCGUAACAAGGUUUCCGUAGGUGAACCUGCGGAAGGAUCAUUAACACGUAUCCAAACGUUAAAACCCCCCCGUGAACCUUCAUCGUUCUCGUACUCUUUGUCAGAAUGGAUCAUUCAGACAUUCCUGGUAAAUCAUCGCCAACGGGUUUUGAUUCAGGUGACUUCUGCGUGAGUAAAGUAGUACCAUAGAACGUCAAGUGGCCCGGCAUUCUUCCGCAUAAUUGAGUCUGAAAGUGGCAAGUCUGAAAGUGGCAACGAUCACUAGAGGCCAACACGGCCGGUGACCGGGUCAGCGGCUACGGCCCCCUAUCACCUUUGCAUGAAAACGGGCCUGCGCUUAAUUGUGCGGCCACCAAAACUCGAACAACUGUUAACAAUGGAUAUCUUGGUUCUC